UACGGGGGGGGCAAGCGUUGUUCGGAAUUACUGGGCGUAAAGGGCUCGUAGGCGGCCAACUAAGUCGGAUGUGAAAUCCCCAGGCUUAACCUGGGAACUGCAUCCGAUACUGGAUGGCUUGAAUCCGGGAGAGGGAUGCGGAAUUCCAGGUGUAGCGGUGAAAUGCGUAGAUAUCUGGAGGAACACCGGUGGCGAAGGCGGCAUCCUGGACCGGCAUUGACGCUGAUGAGCGAAAGCCAGGGGAGCAAACGGG
rnacentral:rRNA from 1 species